rnacentral:rRNA from 1 species
UAGCGUAGGGGGCAAGCGUUUGUCCGGAGUUUAUUGGGCGUAAAGAGCGGUGUAGGCGGCCUGGCAAGUCCGCUGAUGAAACUCGAGCUAACCUCGAGACGUCGGUGGAAACUGCCUGGCUAGAGUCCGGAAGAGGAGAGUGGAAUUCCGUGGUGUAGCGGUGGAAUGCGCAGAUAGUCAGGAAGAACACCCGUGGCGAAGGCGGCUCUCUGGAACGCAACGUGGACGCUGAAGACGCGAAAGCGUGGGAGCAAACAGG